AUUGAACGCUGGCGGCAGGCCUAACACAUGCAAGUCGAGCGGAGCGGCGGACGGGCGAGUAAUUCCUAGGAAUCUGACUGGGAGUGGGGGAUAACGUCCGGAAAGGGGAGCUAAUACCGAAUCCUAACAGAUGAGCCUAGGUCGGAUUGGCUAGUUGGUGGGGUAACGGCCUACCAAGGCGACGAUCCGUAACUGGUCUGAGAGGAUGAUCAGUCACACUGGACCUGAGAAACGGUCCAGAUUCCUACGGGAGGCAGCAGUGGGGAAUAUUGGACAAUGGCCGAAAGCCGGAUCCAGCCAUGCCGCUGGUGUGAAGAAGGUCUUCGGAUUGUAAAGCACUUUCAGUUGGGAGGCGUUACCAACAGAAUAAGCACCGGCUAACUUCGUGCCAGCAGCCGCGGUAAUAC
rnacentral:rRNA from 1 species